GAUGAACGCUGACAGAAUGCUUAACACAUGCAAGUCUUUGGCGAAGCUGUGCUUGCACAGCCUAGCCAAGGCGGACGGGUGAGUAACGCGUAAGGAACUUGCCCUGCAGUCAGGGAUAACAGACGGAAACGACUGAUAAGACCUGGUAAAGUCAGGCGGACUCAUGUCCAGCCUGAUGAAAAGAGAUGCUGCAGGAGAGCCUUGCGUCCUAUUAGCUUGUUGGUGGGGUAACGGCCCACCAAGGCGAUGAUAGGUAGCCGGCCUGAGAGGGUGGACGGCCACAAGGGGACUGAGAUACGGCCCUUACUCCUACGGGAGGCAGCAGUGGGGAAUAGUGGACAAUGGGGGCAACCCUGAUCCAGCAAUUCUGUGUGCACGAUGAAGGUUUUCGGAUUGUAAAGUGCUUUCAGCGGGGAAGAAAAAAAUGACGGUACCUGCAGAAGAAGCGACGGCUAAAUACGUG
rnacentral:rRNA from 1 species